rnacentral:rRNA from 1 species
CCCUUAGAUGUUCUGGGCCGCACGCGCGCUACACUGAUGCAUUCAACGAGUUUCUUCCUGGUCCGAGAGGAAUGGGUAACCUUUUGAAAGUGCAUCGUGAUAGGGAUAGACUAUUGCAAUUAUUGGUCUUCAACGAGGAAUUCCUAGUAGACGUAGUUCAUCAGACUGCAUCGAUUACGUCCCUGCCCUUUGUACACUCCGCCCGUCGCUCCUACCGAUUGAAUGCUCAGGUGAGCCAUUCGGACUUUCAUCAUGCUGGUUUCCAGUUUUGAUGAAGGAAAGUCUUGCGAACCUUAUCAUUUAGAGGAAGGAGAAGUCGUAACA